AAAACUAAAUUUUAGGUUACAACUCCAUAAUAAUCAAACCACGACAAAACUGAAGAAACAAAUGCAUUAGAGAAACGAUAGAAAGGUCUGACUUACUAAUAUAAAAUAAAAAAAAUUGCAUAGCAGAAAUGAUGGUAAAAUAACUAUACACUUUUUAGAGAAAAGAAGAGUGUCUCCAAAUCACCAAGCUUGACUUUUUAGACACUGCUUUGCACGUUAACCUUCGUAAAAGCUCCACCAAUUUCAAUUGUAUUUUCUUCAAAUUUGGGAAAAUUGUCAUCACAUAUCAUCUCAAUGAAGUGUAGAUCAUCACGUGUUGGUAGAGGAUUAUGAGUAACAUUUGGGGUAUAAUUAUUUUGGACCACAUGCUUGGAUCAUCUUUUCCACCUCACUUUUCAGAGUUCAACAAUCUUCAGUUCUUUUCCCAAGAGCAUCAGAGUGAUAUGCACAUCGUGCUAAAAGAUUGAAACCUUUUGAACGUGGAUCUGCAAAAUGUUGAGGAAUCGACUCAAUCAUAUUUAGAGGUUUCAAUUUCUCAUAUAAACUCGUGUAAGACUCUCCAAUUAGUGUGAAAUUGUUUCACAAGUCUUUGACCUCCUUCAAAUCCCUAUUUUGAAUGGGUAUUAGAAGGUGUUCAAAAAUUUUGAGAAGAAGGACGAACAUUUUGAUGUGUUGGUGCUCGCCAUUGAGGAUAGUUUGAUGGAUAUGUAUAUGGUUGUGCACCAUAGACCGCUUAUUGAGGGGAACUAUAUUGAUGAACGUGGGGGAUAAGAGCUUGGAAUUUUAAUGGUCUCUUAACCGGUGUAACCAUGAUCAUGAAGAACUUUGAUGAAGGAUCGUCGUUUGACUUUGGCAUCAUUGUUGGUUGCCGGACGCUACUAGUUGGGGUUGUUGCCACAAAAUGUGGAGUACUUAUCAUGGGUUUACUUGAAGGUCGCAUCGUAGAAGUUCCCGCGACGUUGGAUAUGUUAGCAUAGGGUUUGAACCCAGUGGGAUAGAUUGGAUCACUUGUCGACACCUGGUUAGGGGGCGGCAUACUUGUAUUUAAAUAGUCCAGAAUUGAAGAUGGUAGAGGUUUUUCACUAAUAUAAGCUUCAUACAUCUCCAUCAUUUGUUGUCUUAGCAUCGUUACCUCUUCGAUUGACAAUGUUUCUUGUAACCACCUUCGGCUCUGGACCUCAUCAUUGUCCAACUCAUUUCUGUCGUUAUGAGUCAUUUUAUUUUACCCUUCUGAUCUUGUAUUGUAGGGAUGGGAUGCUAGCUUAAUCACAAACCAACGACAUUAAA